UGUGUUUUUUUUUUUUUUUAAGAGAUAGGAAACACGCUAUCCGCUUUAUUUAUUUUAUUUAGAAAUAAACUUAGCUAGAAAUGUGAAUCAAUCAGGAUUCGAACUUGGGUCUCAGGUACCAACAACCAAUCCCUAUACUACUUGCUCUAGGGACGGUUGGUUGUGUGUGUGUGUUUUUAACUCCACAAAACUUAGUAUAGACUAUAGACAGGAGAGAUUCCCUGACCUCUUGC
rnacentral:lncRNA from 1 species